rnacentral:rRNA from 1 species
GAUGAACGCUGGCAGCGUGCCUAAUACAUGCAAGUCGAGCGAACAGACGAGGAGCUUGCUCCUCUGACGUUAGCGGCGGACGGGUGAGUAACACGUGGAUAACCUACCUAUAAGACUGGGAUAACUUCGGGAAACCGGAGCUAAUACCGGAUAAUAUAUUGAACCGCAUGGUUCAAUAGUGAAAGACGGUUUUGCUGUCACUUAUAGAUGGAUCCGCGCCGCAUUAGCUAGUUGGUAAGGUAACGGCUUACCAAGGCAACGAUGCGUAGCCGAUCUGAGAGGGUGAUCGGCCACACUGGAACUGAGACACGGUCCAGACUCCUACGGGAGGCAGCAGUAGGGAAUCUUCCGCAAUGGGCGAAAGCCUGACGGAGCAACGCCGCGUGAGUGAUGAAGGUCUUCGGAUCGCAAAACUCUGUUAUUAGGGAAGAACAAAUGUGUAAGUAACUAUGCACGUCUUGACGGUACCUAAUCAGAAAGCCACGGCUAACUACGUG